UACGUAGGGACCAAGCGUUGUUCGGAUUUACUGGGCGUAAAGGGCGCGUAGGCGGCCUAGCAAGUCACUUGUGAAAUCUCCGGGCUUAACUCGGAACUGCCAAGUGAAACUGCCAGGCUAGAGUGCAGAAGGGGCAAUCGGAAUUCUUGGUGUAGCGGUGAAAUGCGUAGAUAUCAAGAGGAACACCUGAGGUGAAGACGGGUUGCUGGGCUGACACUGACGCUGAGGCGCGAAAGCCAGGGGAGCAAACGGG
rnacentral:rRNA from 1 species